rnacentral:rRNA from 1 species
UACAGAGGUCUCAAGCGUUGUUCGGAUUCAUUGGGCGUAAAGGGUGCGUAGGCGGCGGGGCAAGUCGGAUGUGAAAUCUCAGGGCUCAACCCUGAAACUGCAUUCGAUACUGCUCUGCUCGAGGACUGGAGAGGAGAUUGGAAUUCACGGUGUAGCAGUGAAAUGCGUAGAUAUCGUGAGGAAGACCAGUGGCGAAGGCGGAUCUCUGGACAGUUCCUGACGCUGAGGCACGAAGGCCAGGGGAGCAAACGGG